CACAAAGUGAAGUUCUCAGCUGCAGCAUCAAAAGGAAAUACAUAUAUUAUACAUAAAACAGUGCUGCCGAAUUUGUUGGUGCUUUAUAAAUGAUAAUAAUAAAAGCAUGGAAAAACAAAAUAAAACACAUUAAACUAACAGAUUCCUUUUAUUGCAGGGAAGUCUUGAUGACUAGUCCCCUCUUCCUCCAUCCCCUGUGCAGUUAGUUAGGUGUUAAUAUUAAUAAACUGAAAAGGACCCUUGCCCUUCCGCCAGGCCUAUAGGAUGGAGGAUAAUAAGUAAUUGCUUAGCUUGGGGUCCCCAUGCCUCUUUAGAAAAUAGAGAUUAAGGUUAUACCCAGUAUUCA